UACGUAGGGUGCGAGCGUUAAUCGGAAUUACUGGGCGUAAAGGGUGCGUAGGCGGUUCGUUAAGUCUGUCGUGAAAUCCCCGGGCUCAACCUGGGAAUGGCGAUGGAUACUGGCGAGCUAGAGUGUGUCAGAGGAUGGUGGAAUUCCCGGUGUAGCGGUGAAAUGCGUAGAGAUCGGGAGGAACAUCAGCGGCGAAGGCGGCCAUCUGGGACAACACUGACGCUGAAGCACGAAAGCGUGUGGAGCAAACAGG
rnacentral:rRNA from 1 species